rnacentral:tRNA from 1 species
UCCCUGGUGGCUCAGUGGUAAAGAAUCUGCCUGCCAAUGCAGAAGACCCAGGUUCAAUCCCUGAUCCAGGAU